rnacentral:rRNA from 1 species
CAACGAAUCUUCCCCAAUGCCGGAAACGGUGAGGGAGCGACGCCGCGUGCGGGACGAAGUACUUCGGUAUGUAAACCGCUGUUAGGGCUAAGAAAGCAAUGCGCGCUAACAUCGCGCAAAGUUGAUCUAGUCCAGAGAAAGGGACGGCUAACUCUGUGCCAGCAGCCGCGGUAAUACAGAGGUCCCAAGCGUUACUGAGAUUCACUGGGUUUAAAGGGUGCGUAGGUGGUCCGUUAAGUCGGUUGUGAAAUCCCCGGGCUCAACCCGGGAACUGCUUCCGAUACUGGCGGACUUGAGGCCAGUAGGGGUCACUAGAACUGACGGUGGAGCGGUGAAAUGCGUAGAUAUCGUCAGGAAUGCCUGUGGUGAAGACGGGUGACUGGGCUGGUUCUGACACUGAGGCACGAAAGCGUGGGGAGCGAACGGGAUUAGAUACCCCCGUAGUCC